AUUGAACGCUGGCGGCAUGCUUUACACAUGCAAGUCGAACGGUAACAGGCCUUCGGGUGCUGACGAGUGGCGAACGGGUGAGUAAUGCAUCGGAACGUACCCAGAGGUGGGGGAUAACGCAGCGAAAGCUGUGCUAAUACCGCAUGUGAUCUGAGGAUGAAAGCGGGGGACCGAGCAGCAAUGUUUGGCCUCGCGCCUUUGGAGCGGCCGAUGCCGGAUUAGCUAGUUGGUGGGGUAAAGGCCUACCAAGGCGACGAUCCGUAGCUGGUCUGAGAGGACGACCAGCCACACUGGGACUGAGACACGGCCCAGACUCCUACGGGAGGCAGCAGUGGGGAAUUUUGGACAAAGGGCGCAAGCCUGAUCCAGCAAUGCCGCGUGCGGGAAGAAGGCCUUCGGGUUGUAAACCGCUUUUGGCAGGAACGAAACGGUGUCCGCUAAUACCGGGCGCUAAUGACGGUACCUGCAGAAUAAGCACCGGCUAACUACGUG
rnacentral:rRNA from 1 species